CGAAGUUAGAGAGAGCUUGCUUUUUCUGACUUAGUGGCGAACGGGUGAGUAACGCGUGAGGAACCUGCCUCAAAGAGGGGGACAACAGUUGGAAACGACUGCUAAUACCGCAUAAGCCCACAGCUCCGCAUGGAGCAGGGGGAAAAGGAGCAAUCCGCUUUGAGAUGGCCUCGCGUCCGAUUAGCUAGUUGGUGAGGUAACGGCCCACCAAGGCGACGAUCGGUAGCCGGACUGAGAGGUUGAUCGGCCAAAUUGGGACUGAGACACGGCCCAGACUCCUACGGGAGGCAGCAGUGGGGAAUAUUGCACAAUGGGGGAAACCCUGAUGCAGCGACGCCGCGUGGAGGAAGAAGGUCUUCGGAUUGUAAACUCCUGUUGUUGGGGAAGAUAAUGACGGUACCUAACAAGGAAGUGACGGCUAACUACGUGCCAGCAGCCGCGGUAAAACGUAGGUCACAAGCGUUGUCCGG
rnacentral:rRNA from 1 species